GUCAGGAAGGCGAAUGCUAUAAAAUAUUCUUAGACAUACAUGGCUGUUCACCAUUGGAAACCAAGUUCAAAUAUGAAAAUGCGGACUAGAAAAGAAUAGAAGGAAAUUUGGGGGGAACUCCUAAAUUCUAUACCCCAUUCCUGCUGAUCUUUUAAAUUCCCAUUGGCUUCAUAGAAAAUUACAAAGCUAAGCAAUUACACUAAAUUGUAAGCAAUAUUUCUUGUGAUAAUAAUUAAUAUGAUUAUUCAGGUAACUGCUGUCAAAUUUUAAAACUAUGGAGAUUAACAAGGAACAACGGGCACAAAAUAAGAAUUAUGAAAAUAUGUCCAAGCUGACAAGAGUCGACUUCAAUUUGCUUCACGAAGCUGCCUGCCCAUGAAAGAUACAUUAUGGAAACCUCGUGAUUGGUCAAUCAAUACAUCCCUUAGGCGUCACAUCUACGCAGCCUGCUCUUUACGUACCAUGGCCUUGCACUUCCAGAAUUGACUAGCUCCCCCAGGAUGAUCAACAAUUACAAAAUUGAUGAGAACAGGAUGAUUCCGAUGAAGAUCACUAUAAGAAAAGUAGAAAUUUCUUGAACUCAUAACCUUAUUCUUAAUCUCACCAUUAAAA
rnacentral:lncRNA from 1 species